GACGAACGCUGGCGGCGUGCUUAACACAUGCAAGUCGAACGGACAGGCCCUGCGUUUGUGGUGUGCUCGUGUGGCGAACGGGUGGGUAACACGUGAGUAACCUGCCCUUGACUUUGGGAUAACUUCAGGAAACUGGGGCUAAUACCGGAUAGGACCUCCUGCUGCUUGUUGGGGGUUGGAAAGUUUCGGCGGUUGGGGAUGGACUCGCGGCUUAUCAGCCUGUUGGUGGGGUAGUGGCUUACCAAGGCUUUGACGGGUGGCCGGCCUGAGAGGGUGACCGGCCACAUUGGGACUGAGAUACGGCCCAGACUCCUACGGGAGGCAGCAGUGGGGAAUAUUGCACAAUGGGCGGAAGCCUGAUGCAGCAACGCCGCGUGCGGGAUGACGGCCUUCGGGUUGUGAACCGCUUUCGCCUGUGACGAAGCGUGAGUGACGGUAAUGGGUAAAGAAGCACCGGCUAACUACGUG
rnacentral:rRNA from 1 species